UAAAAUGUCGUCCUCCGUAGAUUGGGGGUUAUGGCAUGCAAUAUGUAAUCACAAGAACUAGGCACUAGUAUAAGGAAAUCAACAAGAAGCUAAGCAAACAAUAACGAGGUUGAAGAAA